GACGAACGCUGGCGGCGUGCUUAACACAUGCAAGUCGAACGGUGAAGCGCCUUCCUUUUUGGUGGGUGUGGAUGAGUGGCGAACGGGUGAGUAACACGUGAGUAACCUGCCCCCUUCUUCUGGAUAACCGCAUGAAAGUGUGGCUAAUACGGGAUAUUCUGGGUCUGUCGCAUGAUGGGUCUGGGAAAGAUAUUGUUUCGGUGGGGGAUGGGCUCGCGGCCUAUCAGCUUGUUGGUGGGGUGAUGGCCUACCAAGGCGGUGACGGGUAGCCGGCCUGAGAGGGUGGACGGUCACACUGGGACUGAGACACGGCCCAGACUCCUACGGGAGGCAGCAGUGGGGAAUAUAGCACAAUGGGCGCAAGCCUGAUGCAGCGACGCCGCGUGAGGGAUGGAGGCCUUCGGGUUGUGAACCUCUUUCGCCAGUGAAGCAGGCCUGCCUCGUUUGUGGGUGGGUUGACGGUAGCUGGAUAAGAAGCGCCGGCUAACUACGUG
rnacentral:rRNA from 1 species